rnacentral:tRNA from 1 species
UGUCUAAUUAGUUUAUGAAAAUAUUAAUUUGUGGAGUUAAAGAUGAUUAGUCAUUAGAUAG